UAGCUGAGGUGGAGAAGAAUUGCCUCUGG
rnacentral:piRNA from 1 species